rnacentral:rRNA from 1 species
UUGAUCCUGGACUCAGGAUGAACGCUAGCUACAGGCUUAACACAUGCAAGUCAGGGGCAGCAUUAUCGAAGCUUGCUUUGGUAGAUGGCGACCGGCGCACGGGUGAGUAACGCGUAGUCCAACUUCCCCUUAGUAGGGGAUAGCCCGGCGAAAGUCGGAUUAAUACCCUAUGUUGUUCGAAGCAGACAUCUAAAUUGAACCAAAGGUUUACCGCUAAGGGAUGGGGAUGCGUCUGAUUAGGUUGUUGGCGGGGUAACGGCCCACCAAGCCUGCGAUCAGUAGGGGUUCUGAGAGGAAGGUCCCCCACAUUGGAACUGAGACACGGUCCAAACUCCUACGGGAGGCAGCAGUGAGGAAUAUUGGUCAAUGGUCGAGAGACUGAACCAGCCAAGUAGCGUGCAGGACGACGGCCCUAUGGGUUGUAAACUGCUUUUAUACAGGGAUAAAGUCGCCUACGUGUAGGUGUUUGCAGGUACCGCAUGAAUAAGGACCGGCUAAUUCCGUGCC